rnacentral:rRNA from 1 species
AUCACGAGUGCGAAUGCUGACAUGAGUAACGACAAGGGGCGUGAAAAACGCCCCCGCCGGAAGACCAAGGGUUUCUGUUCGACGCUAAUCGGAGCAGAGUGAGUCGGCCCCUAAGGCGAGGCCGAAAGGCGUAGUCGAUGGGAAACGGGUCAAUAUUCCCGUACCUCACAGCAUUGCGAUGGGGGGACGAAGAAGGCUAGGCGGGCCAGGCGUUGGUUGUCCUGGUGAAAGCAUGUAGGCUGGGAUCUCAGGCAAAUCCGGGAUCCCAAGGCCGAGACGCGAGACGAAGGCACUACGGUGCCGAAGUCGUCGAUGCCACGCUUCCAGGAAAAGCCUCUAAGCUUCAGAUGCUGUGGGACCGUACCCCAAACCGACACAGGUGGUCAGGUAGAGAAUACCCAGGCGCUUGAGAGAACUCGGGUGAAGGAACUAGGCAAAAUGGUGCCGUAACUUCGGGAGAAGGCACGCCGCACUAGCGUGAUGGGACUCGCUCCCUAAGCGCGAAGCGGUCGAAGAUACCAGGUGGCUGCAACUGUUUAUUAAAAACACAGCACUCUGCUAACGCGCAAGCGGACGUAUAGGGUGUGACGCCUGCCCGGUGCCGGAAGGUUAAGUGAUGGUGUUAGCUUAGGCGAAGCUCCUGAUCGAAGCCCCGGUAAACGGCGGCCGUAACUAUAACGGUCCUAAGGUAGCGAAAUUCCUUGUCGGGUAAGUUCCGACCUGCACGAAUGGCGUAAUGAUGGCCACGCUGUCUCCACCCGAGACUCAGUGAAAUUGAAAUCGCAGUGAAGAUGCUGUGUACCCGCGGCUAGACGGAAAGACCCCGUGAACCUUUACUAUAGCUUCACACUGGAUGCUGAUGUUGCUUGUGUAGGAUAGCUGGGAGGCUAGGAAGCCCGGACGCCAGUUCGGGUGGAGCCAACCUUGAAAUACCAGCCUGGCAUCAUUGGCGUUCUAACUUGGGCCCGUUAUCCGGGUCGAGGACAGUGUGUGGUGGGUAGUUUGACUGGGGCGGUCUCCUCCCAAAGCGUAACGGAGGAGCACGAAGGUACCCUCAGCACGGUUGGAAAUCGUGCAUUGAGUGCAAGAGCAUAAGGGUGCUUGACUGCGAGACAGACACGUCGAGCAGGUACGAAAGUAGGUUCUAGUGAUCCGGUGGUUCUGUAUGGAAGGGCCAUCGCUCAACGGAUAAAAGGUACUCCGGGGAUAACAGGCUGAUACCGCCCAAGAGUUCACAUCGACGGCGGUGUUUGGCACCUCGAUGUCGGCUCAUCACAUCCUGGGGCUGAAGUCGGUCCCAAGGGUAUGGCUGUUCGCCAUUUAAAGUGGUACGCGAGCUGGGUUUAGAACGUCGUGAGACAGUUCGGUCCCUAUCUGCCGUGGGCGUUGGAAGUUUGCGAAGGGCUGCUCCUAGUACGAGAGGACCGGAGUGGACGCACCUCUGGUGUUCCGGUUGUCACGCCAGUGGCAUUGCCGGGUAGCUAAGUGCGGACGGGAUAACCGCUGAAAGCAUCUAAGCGGGAAGCCCCCUUCAAGAUGAGACUUCCCUGAGGCUUGAGCCUCCUGAAGGGCCCAGCGAGACGAGCUGGUUGAUAGGCACGGUGUGGAAGCGCUGCAAGGCGUUGAGCUAACGUGUACUAAUGGCCCGUGAGGCUUGACCAUAUAACCCCAAGGGGU